GGCAUGAAUUUUGCCAGUAACCUUUUAAGCUUUCUACCUUCUAUUACAAUCCAACAACCAAUAUAACUUAAAAAAAAGGUAGACACAAAUAAUUAACAAAAGAAAAGCAUGAAACAAGCAACUGUAACUCAUGUUCAUUGAAACUAGUAAUUAUGUUCUUAAACCUUUUGAACCUGUUCAUUUGAUCCAUAAUUGAGGUUCGAUAUAUCUGCCGUUCGCGUUCAUUCAGUUAAGGAGCCGGCAACAGCAAGCGAGAGCAGCAGCAGCGCGCAAGCUCGAUCGCGCCGCCGCCUCGCCGUCCAUCGUCAUCUCCGUGAGACACCAAUAACCACCACCCUCCAUUUUCACAGCUCUGAUCUCUCUUCGGUCAGCCAUAGCAGCAGCACAGCGGCUGAACUGCCUCAGCCGCGCCGCCUCUUCGAGCUCGCCGAUUAAGGUCCGCCAGCCACCGCUACUACCCUCCUAUGCCGCCACCCUCACAAAACUAGCCAAGGAGGCCGUGGAACAGCAAGGGAGACGCCGGAAAAACCUCUGUCCUCUCACUUGAAAUUUGAGCAGGAGCUCGAGUGGGCCCUUUUCGACGAUUUAUUUCAUCGCCGACCGGCCACUAGGCCGUGAACCGGCAACCCGUAGUCGUUCGCCCAUCUUCAGGCUACCACUGCCAAUAAUAAAAAAGUUCAAACACUCUCUAUAUCUCCCGAACCAACAGCCGCAAGAUUCUCCGGCGAAUGGACGUCGGUGAACAAUCUAACAUAUCUAUGUAACAAAUCUUCCACAACAAUUGACGCAUCAACAAACAUAUAUGAAGAAUCCUUUUACAAUUAUGGUGAAUCAAAAAAUAAAUCACAAUAGCUUACACGAUUUCAUUUACAAAGUAACCAUUAGUGUGUGGAUUGUGAACAAAUGUAUUAGUUAUUAACAUGUAGGCUAAACAAAAUUAAAUUCUUUCAUCGAAAUAGCUUUCGUCUUUCUGGGAUCACAUCUAAUAAUAACACUAAACAAUAUUACAAAUAUUAAAAUAUGUGCCUAUGAAUUGCAAACGAAUCUGGGAAUCUUUUCAUCGUUUAAAUAUCACAUCACAAAUCAAUAAAAAAUAUGUGCUUAUGAAUUACAAAUGAAUAUGGAAUUUUUUUAAUCUUUCACCGCCAUAAUCGAGAAGCAAAAUCACUUACCUAUGUUCGUCGAAUUUAUCAAUUGAAUGCCUAAUUCGAUUGUCGAUUGCAGACUUGAGUGAGAGGCAAUUGCAGAUAAUGAUCUAGGGUUCGUCGACGGCCGGAGAAUUACAAAUAAUCGAUGCACUACGAUUAUCAGUGUUCAAAUAGAAAAAGAAGCAGAUACCUAUAAUCAAAUCCCAUUGAAAUGAAACAAGAUUUUAUAUAGAUUUGGAAGGUGAGCGAUUGUAGGGAUAGUAUAAAUCUUUCCAAAUUUUGUUCACG
rnacentral:lncRNA from 1 species